AUUGUUUCUUGUUUUCCUUGUUUUUAGUUUUCUCUUUCUUUCUUUCUUUCUUUUUUAACCGGAGCCACUGCUCAGCUGUGGCUUAUGAUGGUGCAGGAGAUUGAACCUGGGAUUUUAGGGCCUCAGGCAUAAGAGUCUCUUUGCAUAACCACUAUGCCAUCUACCCCCCACCGUUUAAUUUCUUUUCUAAGAUUUAUUUAUUCCCCGAGAAAGCACAGUCACUGAAGGCUGAAUUUAGGGCCCAGGCAUCUGAGUCCUGCACUCUGCCCACUGAACUCCCCUCCCCACUUAGAUGCCAUCAUCCUGGCUGUUCUCUGACGAGACGUUGCUGUGGGGCUCAGUUCACACCAGACUAAGCUCAGCUCUGGGGUGUGUGGAGGCUGGGGAUUCUGAAGAAACCUGAAAGUGGAGGAAAGAAGUGCCAAGGAUGCCGGCUAAGUUUUGGCCUCAAGAAUGUAAUUAGAAAGCAAGUGUUUUGUUUUUGUUUUUCUCCCCAGUGAGCCUUUAGCCUUUAGCUGUGGCAGAUUCAAGGCUCUGAAUCAGCAAAGUGGUUAUUUGUCUCGUGAAUGCAAACAGCGGGGAAUGUCAGUAAAUUUGAUUUAGUUUUUUUUUUUUCUCCCCCAGUUUUUACUUCCUUUUCUGAAACCUGGAUUAUUAGGAGAGGUGGGGAUGGAGAGACAGUGUAAUGGUUACGCACAAGACAUGCGUGCCUGGUGCCCCAGGUUCAAUCGUCAGCACCUCUGUAAGCCGGAGUGAACGGUGCUCUGCCUAAUGAUAAUCCUCGUAGUUGAGGGAGUCAGGUGGGGCCACAGGGAGUGAGGUGUGGUCCUGUGUGUCUGUAUAGAAGAUUCCUUGUUUGUUUUUAAAGAUGUUAUUUAUUUAUUAAUGAGAAAGAUAGGAGGAGAGAGUGAAAGAACCAGACAUCACUCGGGCACAGGUGCUACCAGGGAUUGAACUGGGGACCUCAUGCUUGAGAAUCCGAUGCUUUAUCCACUGCGCCCCCUCCCGAACCACAA